rnacentral:rRNA from 1 species
UACAGAGGGUGCAAGCGUUGUUCGGAAUUAUUGGGCGUAAAGCGCGUGUAGGCGGCUUUGCAAGUCGGGUGUGAAAUCCCUCAGCUUAACUGAGGAAGUGCGCCCGAAACUGCAGAGCUUGAGUACCGGAGAGGGUGGCGGAAUACCCCAAGUAGAGGUGAAAUUCGUAGAUAUGGGGUGGAACACCGGUGGCGAAGGCGGCCACCUGGACGGAUACUGACGCUGAGACGCGAAAGCGUGGGGAGCAAACAGG